rnacentral:rRNA from 1 species
UACGGAGGGGGCGAGCGUUAUUCGGAAUUAUUGGGCGUAAAGGGCGCGUAGGCGGCUUGGCAAGUCAAAGGUGAAAUCCCUCGGCUCAACUGAGGGAACUGCCUUUGAAACUGCCUGGCUUGAGGCCGGGAGGGGGUAGCGGAAUUCCAGGUGUAGCGGUGAAAUGCGUAGAGAUGUGGAGGAACACCAGUGGCGAAGGCGGCUUUCUGGUCUGUAACUGACGCUGAGGCGGCGAAAGCG